GCUGGGAGUUGUAGUUUUGCAACAGCUGGAAGCACACUGGUUGGAAAAUACUGAGUUAGGUAACAUCUCCCUGACGAAGGAAGCUGUGCUUCUGAAACGCGUUGAAGGUAUCUUGGAUCUAAUCCUGUAACGUAGUGACGUCACGACAUCGGUCUCCAGCAAACCGCGAACCGGGGCUACCACGGUAGAGAACGCCACCGGCCGGGCGUACUCCCGCAAUCCCCAACUAGGAUCUUUGGUAAAAGGAUGCGCACUCUCCGCAACAUCUCAGAACAAGAGGAAGUGCGGGCAUCACCGCCAAGAAAAACAAUCACACAAAAACGCAAGUAAAAUAUUUAAAGUGAUUGCACUAUAAGUCCAAUAUUCUGCGCACAUCCAUAGGUAUAUGUUUAUAAGUGAACUAGACAUCUAUCCUGUACAUCUCAGUUAGAUCUGCUCGUAUCUAAAUGGACAUUCUUUGACUUGUAGUGCCACCAGCCAAACAACAGGAUUUCACCACCAAUGAUAUACUAAUACAGCUAAAUUCCUGGAACACACUGGAACCCAUAUAAAUAAGCAUACCUACAGGUACAUUCAGUACUGUAUCAUUUAUUUAUUCAUAUCUAUCCCACAUUUUUUCAGUGCACCCUAAAGAACAACUUAAAGAAUAACCCUGCAAACAAUUAUACCACACUUACAGUUUGAUCUUCUUCUUUUAGCCAGCCAAUCAGAAAGCAGCACUACUCAAAUAGAACUCCCGUGAGGUCACACAUGUGAUGUCAUAACCUUUGUCAUCAGUGAGGGGCCUAAACUGUAGGAACUUAGGAAUACAACUUCAUACCCGCCUGUGACUGAUGCACACCUUCCAGGCUGUGGGGCAGCACAUACACGGACACAUUGGCCCAAAUUCUAGAGGUAACCUCCUUUAGUAUGCCCAGAGGAAGGGCAGUACAGUAGCCAUGGAUUCCCUACAGGUUUCCUCCCCUCUGGAGGUUUUUCCUGUCCUGAGUUAGUUACUGUCCGCUCUUUGUGAGUGAUGGAGGUUACAUAAAAUCCCUACACAAACAUUUUUGUAAAUAAUAAAUAAAGUUCCCUUUGUUUAAACUGUU